rnacentral:rRNA from 1 species
GACGAACGCUGGCGGCGUGCUUAACACAUGCAAGUCGAACGGAAAGGCCCUGCUUUUGUGGUGUGCUCGAGUGGCGAACGGGUGAAUAACACGUGAGUACCCUGCCCUUGACUGGGGUAUACCUUCGGAAAACUGUGGCUAAUACCGUAUAGGAGCUCCGGCUGCAUGGUGGGGGUUGGAAAUUUUCGGCGGGUGGGGAUGGACUCGCGUCUUAUCAGCUUGUUGGUGGGGUAGUGGCUUACCAAGGCGUGGACGGGUAGCCGGCCUGGGAGGGUGAACGGCCAGAUUGGGACUGAGAUAAGGCCCAGACUCCUACGGGAGGCAGCAGUGGGGAAUAUGGCACAAUGGGCGGAAGACUGAUGCAGCAACGCCGCGUGCGGGAUGACGGGCUUCGGGUUGUAAACCGCUUUCGCCUGUGACGAAGCGUGAGUGACGGUAAUGGGUAAAGAAGCACCGGCUAACUACGUG